rnacentral:rRNA from 1 species
CAAUAAGCGGAGGAAAAGAUACCAACAGGGAUUGCCCUAGUAACGGCGAGUGAAGCGGCAACAGCUCAAAUUUGAAAUCUGGCCUCGGCCCGAGUUGUAAUUUGUAGAGGAAGCUUUUGGCACGGCACCUGCUGAGUCCCCUGGAACGGGGCGCCAUAGAGGGUGAGAGCCCCGUAUAGCAGGACGCCUAGCCUCUGUAAAGCUCCUUCGACGAGUCGAGUAGUUUGGGAAUGCUGCUCAAAAUGGGAGGUAAAUUUCUUCUAAAGCUAAAUACCGGCCAGAGACCGAUAGCGCACAAGUAGAGUGAUCGAAAGAUGAAAAGCACUUUGAAAAGAGGGUUAAAUAGCACGUGAAAUUGUUGAAAGGGAAGCGCUUGUGACCAGACUUGCGCCGGGCUGAUCAUCCGAGGUUCUCCUCGGUGCACUCUGCCCGGCUCAGGCCAGCAUCGGUUCUCGCGGGGGGAUAAAGGCCCUGGGAACGUAGCUCCUCCGGGAGUGUUAUAGCCCGGGGUGUAAUGCCCUCGCGGGGACCGAGGACCGCGCUUCGGCAAGGAUGCUGGCGUAAUGGUCAUCAGCGACCCGUCUUGAAACACGGACCAAGGAGUCAAGGUUUUGCGCGAGUGUUUGGGUGUUAAACCCGCACGCGUAAUGAAAGUGAACGUAGGUGAGAGCUUCGGCGCAUCAUCGACCGAUCCUGAUGUAUUCGGAUGGAUUUGAGUAGGAGCGUUAAGCCUUGGACCCGAAAGAUGGUGAACUAUGCUUGGAUAGGGUGAAGCCAGAGGAAACUCUGGUGGAGGCUCGCAGCGGUUCUGACGUGCAAAUCGAUCGUCAAAUCUGAGCAUGGGGGCGAAAGACUAAUCGAACCAU